rfam:Habropoda laboriosa contig13785, whole genome shotgun sequence.
GAGUAAUUAGCGUAGUGCGCAAAGCCUCGGCUUGCUAAGCCGAAGGUCCCGGGUUCGAUUCCCGGUUGGGUCC